AAUAAACUUUUUUCCCCCGAAAUAAAUAUCUCAAACACGCACUACCGAGUAACCACCUAUCCAUUCCGCCGCCAUCUGCCGGCGACCACCGAUUGGGGUAUAAAGCUUGUAAGAUCUGUGGUUUGGUUUAUAUGGCUGAUCGUAACUUGGUGGCAGUUAAGCCAAUAUGGAUGAAACAAGCAGAAGAGGCAAAAAUAAAGAGUGAAGCUGAGAAAGAUGCUGCAGCUAAGGCUGCAUUUGAGGCUACGUUUAAGGAUGUUGAGAAGAAUCGAGAGCCUGCUGCUUUGUCGGAUAGCGAUGGCGAUGAAGAAGAGGAUUUGACUAACAAGCCUAUUGGGCCGGUUGACCCUUCUAAGUGCACGGCUGCUGGGACUGGUGUUGCAGGGGGGACUGCAUGUGCACAGUCUUCAUUUGUGGUCGUUACGAAGGAUUCGGAUGGUCGUAAGGUCCCCAAGGGUGGAGCUCAAGUGAAGGUGAAGGUUUCACCUGGAGUGGGUGUUGGAGGGGCUGAACUGGAAGGUAUUGUUAAGGAUAUUGGGGAUGGGACAUAUACAGUCACUUAUGUUGUUCCAAAGAGAGGAAACUACAUGCUGGAUGUCGAGUGUGACGGGAAGCCUAUCAUGGGAAGCCCGUUCCCUGUUUUCUUUAGUGCAGGCACGACUACAGGGCUUUUGGGCUUUGCUCCACAGUUGAAUUUCCCAAAUAUGGUCAACCAGACCAUGCCAAACAUGCCAAAUUACUCUGGUUCUGUUUCAGGGGCAUUUCCAGGACUUCUUGGUAUGAUUCCUGGUAUUAUUCCUAGUGCCUCAGGUGGGGUCGUCCUGCCUGGGAUUGGAGCAUCACUUGGGGAAGUUUGCCGAGAAUACUUAAGUGGACGAUGUCUUAAAACUGAUUGCAAGUUCAAUCAUCCUCCACACAACCUGCUGAUGACUGCUUUUGCUUCCACAAGCACCAUGGGAACUCUUAGUCAAGCCCCAAUGGCGCCAUCAGCUGCUGCAAUGGCAGCUGCACAGGCCAUUGUUGCUGCUCAAGCACUUCAAGCACAUGCUUCUAGUGCACAAGCUAGCUCCUCUAAAGACAAUUCUGGAUCAGCAGAUAAGGCAGCAAAGAGCGAGUCCUUAAAGAAGACUUUACAAGUUAGUAACCUCAGCCCGCUGCUUACUGUGGAUCAGCUGAAACAGUUUUUUAGUUUUUGUGGCACCGUUGUAGAUUGUAGCAUCACCGAAUCCAAGCAUUUUGCUUACAUAGAAUAUUCAAAAGCUGAAGAAGCAACUGCUGCACUUGCAUUAAAUAACAUGGAUGUUUUAGGCCGGCCGUUGAAUGUUGAAAUGGCCAAGUCAUUACCUCAGAAGCCUGCUAAUUCUGCUCUUGGUUCAUCUUCUUUGCCAAUGGUGAUGCAGCAGGCUGUUGCAAUGCAGCAAAUGCAGUUUCAGCAGGCUCUUAUAAUGCAGCAAACCAUGAAUGCACAACAGGCAGCUAAUCGAGCAGCAACCAUGAAAAAUGCAACAGAAUUGGCAGCAGCUAGAGCUGCAGAAAUAAGUAUGAAGUUAAAAGCGGAAGGGAUAAUUGGAAUUGGAAAUGAAGAUGAAUCAGUUAAAACUCACAGGUCACCAUCUCCUGUCCCUGCAAGGUCAAGAUCUAAAUCGAAAUCUCCAAUCAUAUAUAAAAGAAAUCGGAGGUCUCGUUCUUAUUCACCACCGCCUCGCCGUGUGAGAGAUUAUAGGUCCAGGUCACCUAUAAGAGGUCGCCAUUACAACAGUUAUGAGUAUGACAGACGGUCUUAUAGGGACACUAGGGGUGGUAGUGACAGGGAUAGAAGACGAGAUUAUGGCAGAUCAAAUGAUCGCCAUUCUUGGAGAAAUAGGAGCCGAAGUGUUAGCCCAGUGACAAAAAAGUCUUAUCGUAAUGGUUCAGAAUCUCCAAAACGCCGUCGCGAAAGUCCAACUCAUAGGUCCAAAAAGUCUUCUCGUGCCAAUUCUAGGUCACCUGCUAGUCAUCGUGAUGUUCAAAGCAAAGAUAAAUAUAGAAGACGUUCCAGGUCAGCAUCUUUGGAUGCCAAGCAUCGGUCUAAUGAUAAAUUAGAAGACAAAGAGGAAAGAUCAAAGUAUCGUGAUGAUCAAAGUAAAGAAAAACACAGAAGACGUUCUAGGUCAGCAUCUUUGGAUGCCAAGCGUCGGUCAGUUGACAAAUUAGAUGUCAAGGAGGAAAGAUCAAAGCAUCAUGAUCGGCGGCGUUCUAGGUCUAAAUCUAUAGAAAAUAAGCACCGAUCUGGUGAUAAAUCGGGUGACACAAAACAAAGGGAUCGUAGGCGAUCCAGGUCACCACCAGCAGACGAUAAGCAUCGAAGUCGUAACAGUUUGAGUGCAAAAGCUUCAGAUGAAGGUAAAUUAAGGCAUAGGAGACGAUCCAGGACUAGGAGUCCUGAAGAUAACCACCGGAGUGAUAGAACUGAUAGAAGCAGGAAAGAUAAGUCAAAGUCAAAGUAUCAUGGUAGAAGGCAAUCCAGGUCAGCAUCACCCGAAGUGAAACGUCACAAAGGGAGUAGAAAAUCUCCAGGAGGGUCGGAUGAACACAGACCAAAAAACAGAAAGCGGUCAAGGUCUAGGUCAAAGUCAGUAGAACAUGGCCGAUUGAACGAGGAUUUAGAUGGCGGUAAAGAUAAAGAUGUUGAUGAUCUACGAGAGCCCGUAUCUUCUGGUGAUAUUAAAUCAAACAAUUUGAAGGAUUUUAAGGAUGAUGGAGCAUCCUUUUCAUCGCCUGAGGGUGCGGGAGACCUCCAUAAGUCUGAAGGUGGUAGAAAUGUUGAAAGAGAUCAUGACAUAGCUGAGGUUGAUGACGCAUGAUACGGGACGGGUGGUUUGUCGGUAUUCUUGUAAAGCAGUGCUACUUGAUAACGCCUUUACAAGUAUGCUAUGUAGAUUUGUAUUAUGAAAUCUGGAUAUUGAGGAGAGGCGCCAUGAAAGAUUUGCUGGAUUUCAGUUUAGCAAUCAGAAGUCAGAAUGUUAUCUCGAUCUUUCGGCUCAGUAGAAUAAAUGUUGUUUAUUUCUUUUGCAGGUUUAAUGGGAAUAUGUGGGACUCGCUCUUUCUGCAAAUUUUAUUUGGUUAAAAUGUUUGAAGAACUUCUCUGCACCCCUAACUGGAGUCUGCAGUGCAAUAUUUUUAGCGACUUAAUCAGCUUAAUGUUGCUGGCUGGUUUCUUUUGGCGGUUUAUCAGAUCCAUUUGUCAGGGUUUUUUCUUUCCGUUGUAUAUAAAAGGUCAGCUUGUUAAGACAAACUGCAGCUAGAUGUCUCCGAGUUGACAAGGCAGAUUGGCUAAACUGAGCACUCUUUUAUCCUGGUGAAAUAGGAUAUGUUAGUUGGCAGGUGACGUUUCCUACAGCUAAAAGGAAAGCGAUGAUGUAGAUAUGCAAAGAACAGAGAUGUAAGAUUGUUUUUAUGGAGGAGUCAAUGAAGAGUUGCAGCGACUGAUCGACAUAGGAAAUUUAAGACUGCAUUAGUGAUGCAUCCAUCAAUUAGAACAAGGUCCACACACUUUGAACAAUUCCGCGUUAUAUAUAUAAUACUCCGUAUAUAUUUGUUACCAUCUUGACAUCUUGUCAAAGUGUACAUCAGCCAGCCAGAAGGAUGAUUAUUUUCGAUAGUGCUCAUUUAUGUUUUGUGUUGUGCUGGGUGUCCUCAUACAGUGAAUUUCAUUAAUUGGAUUCAAUGAUCAAUGGAAGUUUUUUG